GGAAGUAUUGAGCAACUGGCUGGCUCGCCUGACUGUAAAUCAGGUCUUUUUUAAGCGUGUAGGUUCGAGUCCUGCUACUUCCA
rnacentral:tRNA from 1 species